UCAAAAUUUGAAACCGUUAGCUACUAACGUAGCGAAGCUUCUUUGGCAAAAAAAAAAAGAACUUCGUGGCCAUGAAGUUGCGACUGAUAUUCUUCGUCUUCUUUUUCGUUUACAGGAGAUCCACUGCGAUUGGGCAAGCAGUGGACCUUAAGCAAAACGAAGAAGCCCCAACAGCAGCCCCGGUUAUUCCUGAUGGCACGCCGGAAGGCCAACUAUCGUUAGUGGAUCGCUUGGAAACAAUGGAAAAGGCAUUCAGGGCUAUAGUGUCAGCUCUUUCGAACCAAUCCAACGAUUUAUUCGCACCAAUUAAAGAAAUUUUGGUACAAGAUCCGUCUGUCAGGUCGUUCCUUUCAUCAACAUCAUUUUUACCAAAUGUCACUACCACCCCUGUAAAUGGUACCGAUAAAUAUGUGACCAUCGAGAGCAGCAAACAAGCAACGAAAGAAAUCCUUCAACAAGGGAAGAAUAUGGUGGACACGCUUAAAGGAGUAGUCAAGUGUUCAUUAGCUCAUUUGGUUGAUAUCAAUAGCAUCGAUGAUUUAAACUCGAGCCUGAACGGAUCGUCAUUAACCGCUCUACUCACUAGUAAAGAAUCAGUUGAAAUCAAUUGGCCCAUGCCCUCGGCCGAGUGUUUGAAAUUCAGUACAGGUGUAUGGAUCAGAGUAUACCAGUCCGGUGAUCAACACAAAUGGCCGGCAGAAACUCUUUUAACUGUUCCUCAAAGGUGCGUGAAAAAGAGUUCAAAAACUUUGUACUCGAUCAUCCUUUCACCACCGUCUAUCUCUGCAACUGGAAAGAAAGAUCCUUGCCAUUUUCAUUUGACCAAAAGUCUGACUCAAUGCCGAUCUUACGUCGUGCAAGUCAUCCCAAAUUAUCAAUCGCUCAGAGGAAAAACCUUACGAACGGAAAUCGUAGUUCCACCAAAGAUUAGUGAAGAUCCGAGCAUGAAAUCGUUACUAACUGCCGUGGCGAAUGGAGAUCUAUGGAAAUUGAAUUGGAAGGAUAAUUCUGGUUGCGAACCUCAGAUGACAUCUUUGAACCUGAAAAUAUUCCAGGAUGGAUUUGUCGAUAGUCUAAGACAAAAUGUUAGUACCAUCAAGAUUCCGCGAAGUUGUUUGAGACAACACGCAAAUGACGAUAACCUGUUCACAAUGGUUUUACCAGCUAAUCAACAGACAUGCCCAAUUGAUUGGAAACCAUUAGACAAGUGUCGCAAAUACAGACUUGAAAUGAGUUCCGCAGUACACGGACACAUGGAAUGGGCCUUCUACUUCAUUGGAGAUACUUGCAAAAGGACACGAAGUUGCAAACAAUUCACUUGAUUCAAAUGACAUAUGGAGAUGUCAAAGAAAGUAUUUCUACUGUGAGUACAAUGGCUGUUGGCCGUCCGACCACAGCUAUGUAUGUAACGGACAAAAUCACUGUAAUAAUGGCCGAGAUGAACACUACUGUGAUCCUGUAUGCAAAGUGGGAUUUAAAUGCGGUCGGCAGUGCAUACCCAACGAACUCGUUUGCAAUGGCAAAUUCGAUUGUCUCGAUGGCUCCGAUGAGGACUAUACUUGCAGUUACGACAACAUGUGUCAGCAAUUCACAAAUUCAUCGGGAAAUUUCUCGUCGCUGAUUAUCCCCAAGCCUGCCAAUGAAAUUAGCUCGGAUAGAAUGUCCGAUAUUGUCCGUAAAACGGCCGUUUUGAUAUCGGUAGAACCCAAUCACCAAAUUUGGCUCACGUUUGAAAAAUGCGUCACUUCCGAAAACAAACACUUUGUUAAAAUUUAUGACGGACCUUACUCCACCAGUUCUCUUCUGUUAUCCCGAAGCGGUUCACUAAGUCCAUUUUCCGUACGAUCAUCGUCUAACGAGCUUUAUGUAGAAUUUCCGUCCUAUUAUGAUGUGACAUAUGGAAUCACUGCCGUCUAUUCGAGCAUAAACGCUACAAUAAGCGAACCAUUUAUACCAGGAUGCGGAGGUUAUAUUCAAAGGUGAAGGGUUGAUUUCAACGCCAACCUAUUCUGCUAAUCCCGAUAUCACCGACUGCUUUUGGUUCUUGGAAACGAAGAACAAGCGAAGAUACUAUUGUACUAAGCAACUCGGAUUUCCUCUCGUAUCAGAGGAUGAAAUCAAUUUCUGCUACCGCGAGAACCUCUGAGCAUGAUCAUUAUGGUCGAUGGUCACAACCUACACCUCUGUCAACAGUGCCUCCACCGACUGAGUCACCCUCUCUAAUCAUUUAUGACGGAUGGAGUACUGAAGGUCUUGUUCUUUACAAUGGGGAAGCUAAAGAUCAAAGGAGGGCAGUCACCUAUUCGAUCAGCAACAAAAUGAUGGUUCAUUUGACAUCACCUGAAAUUAGAGUUCAAACUCCGUUCUCCUGGACAGUCUCGAGAAUUUCUACACCGCAAUGCAACCAUACCUUUGAUGGACCUAAUGGAAUAAUCAAAAGCCCCAACUAUCCAUUAGUUUAUUCGCAUCUGAGUGACUGCCGCUGGAACAUCGAUGUGAAACCUGGUUUAAAAAUCCGGUUGCUUUUUGGUUUCUUUGAAACACAGGACCAAGCAGAUUUUCUCUACGUAUACGAUGGACCGACCAUGUACUCGAAGCUGUUGUUUGAAAAAUCAGGAUCUGUUACGACACCAUUUGAAAUUACCUCGACAAGCAAUCAAGUGUUUAUUAGGUUUAUCAACCGAUGCCAACACUGCUCUUCCUGGUUUUCUUGUUAUUUAUUCGACAGUUUGAGUUUUGUCUUGAUCA
rnacentral:sRNA from 1 species